GGAGUUUGGGCCGUGUCUCAGUCCCAAUGUGGCCGGUCACCCUCUCAGGUCGGCUACUGAUCGUCGCCUUGGUGGGCCGUUACCUCACCAACAAGCUAAUCAGACGCGGGCCCAUCUCAUUCUGCCGGAGCUUUUCACACUGUUCCAUGCGGAACCGUGCGCUUAUGCGGUAUUAACAGUCGUUUCCAACUGGUAUCCCCCUGAAUGAGGCAGGUUGCCCACGCGUUACUCACCCGUCCGCCACUCGUCAGCUAGAAAAGCAAGCUUUUCUACUGUUACCGUUCGACUUGCAUGUAUUAGGCCUGCCGCCAGCGUUCAAU
rnacentral:rRNA from 1 species